UUAUUCCCCUUAGUUUAUUUUUCUAGUUUUUUUUGCCUAGUUUAUACUUAGUUCUCUUCUCUCUCUCCUAAUGUUUCUUCAGGCUUUUAUUCAAGUGAUUAAUGAUAAUGCAAUUCAGUUUUUAAUUGUUAAUUUUUUUAAUUAUUAGUUUACUUUGUUAAUUUAGUUCAUAGUUUAAUUAAUUCUAGUUAUAGGAAAGAAUUGGUUCAAGUGAUAAGAAUCAAGAGUUUUCAAGUUCAAGAGAGCAAGUUCUUCAUCAAUAAUUCUGUUCCAAUACCAUCACUCCAAAUCAAUCAAGUUUCAAUUUAGCUUUCACAUAAUCAAGGAAAACUUCAUUCUCGGUGGGAAGGUCCUUACCUUGUGCAAACUGUAUUCCCCCAUGGUAUCGUAGAGGUCAUGAAUCUAUCCACCCGGGAAAUUUUUAAAGUUAAUGGACACUAUCUGAAGUCAUUCCUUGAGCUACCUUUAAUGCAUGAUGCAGAAGUCAUGAUUCUCCAUGAGCCUCUUUAUGAUGAUAUUUGAUCCUAUUUGGUGCCAACCACUAGUAACUUAUGGAUUUGCCCGGCUCAUUACAUGGAAGGACUAC